GGUGGCUCAGUGGUAGAGCACUUGCCUUGCAUGCAUGAGGCGCUGAGUUCUAUUCCUCAGCACCA
rnacentral:tRNA from 1 species